GGCGAACGCUGGCGGCAGGCCUAACACAUGCAAGUCGAACGGACCCUUCGGGGUUAGUGGCGGACGGGUGAGUAACACGUGGGAGCGUGCCUUUAGGUUCGGAAUAGCUCCUGGAAACGGGUGGUAAUGCCGAAUGUGCCCUUCGGGGGAAAGAUUUAUCGCCUUUAGAGCGGCCCGCGUCUGAUUAGCUGGUUGGUGGUGUAACGGACCACCAAGGCGACGAUCAGUAGCUGGUCUGAGAGGAUGAUCAGCCACAUUGGGACUGAGACACGGCCCAAACUCCGACGGGAGGCAGCAGUGGGGAAUCUUGCGCAAUGGGCGAAAGCCUGACGCAGCCAUGCCGCGUGAAUGAUGAAGGUCUUAGGAUUGUAAGAUUCUUUCACCGGGGACGAUAAUGACGGUACCCGGAGAAGAAGCCCCGGCUAACUUCGUGCCAGCCGCCGCAGUAACAC
rnacentral:rRNA from 1 species